UCCACGAGUUCUGCUUGGGGAGCUGCCCCAGGGGCUCCCCCUGCUCUCCCCAGCAACGGUCCCUCCGAGCUCCCUGCCGAGCUCCGGGACCUUCCUGCUUUGCAGUAUCUCGCCAGCGGGCUGGAGCAGCGCGGGACUGAGCGGGAAGGGAUCUGCGGAUUCCUUCCUGCAGACAUCAAAAAAACAAUAAAGGCGGCAGCCCGGAAGAGCUGCUUUGCUUGCGGCGAGCGUGGCGCUGCAAUCGACUGCCAGGGGAAGGAUUGCAGCCGCAGCUUCCACCUCCCCUGCGCCUCCAGCAACGGCUGCGUCACGCAGUUUUUCAAGGCCUACAGGUCCUUCUGCUCGGAGCACCGCCCGGAGCAGGCGGUGCCGGUACGCCCAGACGAAGAAACCACCUGCAUCAUUUGCAUGGAGCGGGUGGACGAAAAGCUAUCGUUCGGCACUCUGG